ncrna:Xanthomonas campestris pv. vesicatoria str. 85-10 radC RNA
AAGCUGCCCGCAUGUUCGCUGAUUCGUCAGCACAUGCCAGCAGCCAGGGUUCCAGGCUGCCGCGGGUCUCUCCCGCGUUGCCCACCAGUCCGCAUCGCAUCAGGUCUGCGGACGCGCGUCCCCGUGACGUCGAUGC